GGUAAUGCCAACAUUUAUGGGGAAACUGAAGGAAAUGGAGCAGGGAAGGGAGCUUAGAAACUGCAGCCACAGAUCGGGGAGCAGUAGGACAGAGCGGUUCUGAGCAACCCAGGCAAGAGUUUCAAGAGCGCGCUGGUCACCAGCGUCACAUGCCUCAGAGAAGUCAAGAGACCUGAGAAGUGUCCAUUGGAUUGAUCCGGCAAUUAUGGAAUCUUUUAUUAAUAGGAACUAGGAUGGAACCUACAUAUGACACUUAUUUGAAAAGAAACCCAUCUUCAAACUAUAGAUUUACUGAGAAAAGGCUAGUACUCUGUUGGACUUUGGAAGACAUGACUUUUG
rnacentral:lncRNA from 10 species